ensembl:lncRNA
CUUUAACAAAAGAUCAGGAACUUGACAUUUAUUUUUAAGCCUGAGAAGAAAAUGUGUGCAGUGCUGGAAGCAAAUAUAGGGAUAGGAAAAGCUUCUCAACAGUUGCAGGGAGCUGCAGUGGAACAAGAAGAAAUAUUAUAUGCCAUGCCAGUGGCUUUACUUUUGCAAAAUAGCAACUGAUGACUAGAUGUAACCUCUGCCACAUUUUGUUUUGUUCACGACUACAUUCCUAGUUGCCUAAUAGUGCCCAGUAUAUGGCCUCUGAUGAAAUAAAAGUCACAUUUUAUGGCAAGGAAAGAAAAACUUAAACGUAAGAUUUUCCUCUGACCGUCUGGGCCUUCUUCCUCCCCGGUAGCGUGUGUUGUGCGUCUGCAUUUACCAGAUCUCCCGAGGGGGUAAACAUCGCUUCUUCAUCUUGUAAAGGGUCGUGAUGACACAUGACUUGCUUUGUACCUGCAGACCCAGAUUGUGUAAACUGUCAAUAUGUCUUUUGAGGGCUUCCCUGGUGGCUCAGACAGUAAAGCGUCUGCCUGCAAUGCGGGAGACCCGGCUUCGACUGCUGGGUCGGGAAGAUUCCCCUGGAGAAGGAAAUGGCAACCCACUCCAGUACUCUUGCCUGAAAAAUCCCAUAGACAGAAGAGCCUGGUAGAUUACGGUCCAUGGGGUCGCAAAGAGUCGGACAGGACUGAGCAACUUCACUUUCACUUUCGCUAUGUCUUUUGAUGUUUAACUUUUUGUCUCACAAAUGUAUAACUGGGUUUUGACCUCUAGUGGGUAAAACAGUCCUCAGAGCUUUCUGAAAGAUUGUCUGUGUCCCAGAUUGGCUCGAAUAAAAAUUUCCAUUCUUUUCUUAGGUUGACUAUCGAUUAAUUUUUUUCUCAAUACGUCAAAUAUGACUUCUUCAACUUAAAGAUGAGCCCCUCAAAGAGGUUUUCCCUGACAGUUCUGUUGAAACUAGCUCUCCCUUGGGAAUUCCCUGGCUGUCCAGUGGCUGGGACUCUGCCCUCCCCCUUGCUUAGGAGCCCGAGUUCCUUGGUCAAGGAACUAAGAUCCCACAAGCUGCAAAAAAGAAGCUAGGACUCCCACUGUGAUCUCCAUCUCAACCCCUUAUUCUACAACAACAGCAAAAUGGUCA